ACCCAAGCAUUUUGGUGAUGCUCUCAGCUGCCAACUUUAUACUGGAGAUGAACCCCAGUUUUAUCUCAAAUCAAAGACAUCAAAGAGUGCAUCUGGAGACCUUUCCUGCCAGUUUACAGUGAAUAAGGAUGAUUUAUUCAGACGUCUGCAGUCAGUGAAGAGCAGAGGGGUGAGCUGUGAUUAUACAGUGAAGACAGAACAUCCAUCUCUCUCUCCACGCAGUGACCCAUACACCUUUACAGAAUUAAGCCUUGUCACAACAACAACAUAUUUAUCACCAUCACAGCCAGGGUUAAGCCUUGUAACAACAACAGCAACACCAGCAACAACAGCAGCACCAGCAACAACAGCAACAGCAACAGCAACAACAACAGCAAUAGCAACAGCAUCAACAACAAC
ensembl:lncRNA